AAGUCGUAACAAGGUCUCCGUUGGUGAACCAGCGGAGGGAUCAUUAACGAAUUCGAAACAAAGCGCCCUCGCGGCUGAUGCUGGCCCCUCGGGGCACGUGCACGCCUCGGGCGCCUUCAAUUCGCCUCCAACCCACCCUUGUGCACCCCGCGUAGGCCGUCGAUCACCUCGACGCCUGCGAAUUUCGUCCACACCCCGAUCGCAUGUGCAAGAGUUUUUUUGAAUGUGAAUAACACAAACACAACUUUCAACAACGGAUCUCUUGGCUCUC
rnacentral:misc_RNA from 1 species